rnacentral:rRNA from 1 species
UGAGGAAUAUUGGUCAAUGGGCGGAAGCCUGAACCAGCCAAGUAGCGUGCAGGAUGACGGCCCUAUGGGUUGUAAACUGCUUUUAUGCGGGGAUAAAGUGAGGGACGUGUCCUUCAUUGCAGGUACCGCAUGAAUAAGGACCGGCUAAUUCCGUGCCAGCAGCCGCGGUAAUACGGAAGGUCCGGGCGUUAUCCGGAUUUAUUGGGUUUAAAGGGAGCGUAGGCCGUGGAUUAAGCGUGUUGUGAAAUGCAGGUGCUCAACGUCUGCACUGCAGCGCGAACUGGUUCACUUGAGUGUGCGCAACGCAGGCGGAAUUCGUCGUGUAGCGGUGAAAUGCUUAGAUAUGACGAAGAACUCCGAUUGCGAAGGCAGCUUGCGGGAGCACAACUGACGCUGAAGCUCGAAAGUGCGGGUAUCGAACAGG